rnacentral:rRNA from 1 species
AGCAGCCGCGGUAAUUCCAGCUCCAAUAGCGUAUAUUAAAGUUGUUGCAGUUAAAAAGCUCGUAGUUGAGUUUCGGGAUCAAUGUUUCGGUCAUGCCCUUGGUAUGUACUGAUAUUAUUGGUUUCUCACCUUCUAAAGAGCCGUAAUGCCAUUAAUUUGGUGUCACGGGGAAUUAGGACUGUUACCUUGAAAAGAUUAGAGUGUUUAAAGCAGGCUCACGCUUGAAUACAUUAGCAUGGAAUAAUGAAAUAGGACAUCCGAUUCUAUUUUGUUGGUUUCUAGGAUCGAUGUAAUGAUUAAUAGGGAUAGUUGGAGGCAUUAGUAUUCAAUUGUCAGAGGUGAAAUUCUUGGAUUUAUUGAAGACUAACUACUGCGAAAGCAUUUGCCAAGGAUGUUUUCAUUAAUCAAGAACGAAAGUUAGGGGAUCGAAGACGAUCAGAUACCGUCGUAGUCUUAACCAUAAACUAUGCCGACUAGGGAUCGGAUGAUGUUAAUUUUUUAAUGACUCA